rnacentral:other from 1 species
CCUUUCUCAUUUCGCAGUGCUACAAU